rnacentral:rRNA from 1 species
CUCCGGGGAGGCGGCAAAUAUCCUUUGAUCCGGAGAUGUCUGAAUGGGGGAACCCACCUACUUUAAGGUAGGUAUUGCAACAUGAAUACAUAGUGUUGCAAGGCGAACGAGGGGAAGUGAAACAUCUCAGUACCCUUAGGAAAAGAAAUCAAUUGAGAUUCCCUCAGUAGCGGCGAGCGAACGGGGAUCAGCCCAUUAAGUUAUGUGUGUUUUAGUGGAACGCUCUGGGAAGUGCGAACGUAGAGGGUGAUAUUCCCGUACACGAAAGGGCACACAUAAUGAUGACGAGUAGGGCGAGGCACGUGAAACCUUGUCUGAAUAUGGGGGGACCAUCCUCCAAGGCUAAAUACUCCUGACUGACCGAUAGUGAACCAGUACCGUGAGGGAAAGGCGAAAAGAACCCCUGUGAGGGGAGUGAAAUAGAUCCUGAAACCGCAUGCAUACAAGCAGUGGGAGCACCUUCGUGGUGUGACUGCGUACCUUUUGUAUAAUGGGUCAGCGACUUAUAUUCAGUAGCGAGGUUAACCGUAUAGGGGAGCCGUAGAGAAAUCGAGUCUUAAUAGGGCGUUUAGUUGCUGGGUAUAGACCCGAAACCAGGCGAUCUAUCCAUGAGCAGGUUGAAGGUUGGGUAACACUAACUGGAGGACCGAACCCACUGUCGUUGAAAAGCCAGGGGAUGACUUGUGGAUAGGGGUGAAAGGCUAAUCAAGCCUGGUGAUAGCUGGUUCUCCCCGAAAGCUAUUUAGGUAGCGCCUCGGACGAAUACCAUAGGGGGUAGAGCACUGUUUCGGCUAGGGGGUCAUCCCGACUUACCAAACCGAUGCAAACUCCGAAUACCUAUGAGUACUAUCCG